rnacentral:rRNA from 1 species
UGGGGAAUAUUGGACAAUGGGCGAAAGCCUGAUCCAGCCAUGCCGCGUGUGUGAAGAAGGUCUUCGGAUUGUAAAGCACUUUAAGUUGGGAGGAAGGGCAGUAAGUUAAUACCUUGCUGCUUUGACGUCACCGACAGAAUAAGCACCGGCUAACUCUGUGCCAGCAGCCGCGGUAAUACAGAGGGUGCAAGCGUUAAUCGGAAUUACUGGGCGUAAAGCGCGCGUAGGUGGUUUGUUAAGUUGGAUGUGAAAGCCCCGGGCUCAACCUGGGAACUGCAUCCAAAACUGGCAAGCUAGAGUACGGUAGAGGGUGGUGGAAUUUCCUGUGUAGCGGUGAAAUGCGUAGAUAUAGGAAGGAACACCAGUGGCGAAGGCGACCACCUGGACUGAUACUGACACUGAGGUGCGAAAGCGUGGGGAGCAAACA